rnacentral:rRNA from 1 species
CAACAGGGAUUGCCCUAGUAACGGCGAGUGAAGCGGCAACAGCUCAAAUUUGAAAUCUGGCCUCGGCCCGAGUUGUAAUUUGCAGAGGAUGUUUCUGGCGCGGUGCCUUCCGAGUUCCCUGGAACGGGACGCCACAGAGGGUGAGAGCCCCGUAUGGUUGGACACCAAGCCUGUGUGAAACUCCUUCGACGAGUCGAGUAGUUUGGGAAUGCUGCUCUAAAUGGGAGGUAAAUCUCUUCUAAAGCUAAAUACCGGCCAGAGACCGAUAGCGCACAAGUAGAGUGAUCGAAAGAUGAAAAGCACCUUGAAAAGGGGGUUAAACAGUACGUGAAAUUGUUGAAAGGGAAGCGCUCAUGACCAGACUUGUGCCGGGCGGUUCAUCCGGGGUUCUCCCCGGUGCACUCCGCCCGGUUCAGGCCAGCAUCGGUUCUCGUUGGGGGAUAAGAACGGUAGGAACGUGGCCCUCCCUCGGGAGGGUGUUAUAGCCUGCCGUACGAUACCCUGAUGGGGACCGAGGUUCGCGCUCCGCAAGGAUGCUGGCGUAAUGGUCAUCAGCGACCCGUCUUGAAACACGGACCAAGGAGUCGUCCAUUAGAGCGAGCGUUUGGGUGUAAAACCCGCACGCGUAAUGAAAGUGAAAUUAGGUGAGAGCUUCGGCGCAUCAUCGACCGAUCCUGAUGUUCUCGGAUGGAUUUGAGUAAGAGUUUUAACGGACGGACCCGAAAGACAGUGAACUAUGCUUGUAUAGGGUGAAGCCAGAGGAAACUCUGGUGGAGGCUCGCAGCGGUUCUGACGUGCAAAUCGAUCGUCAAAUAUGAGCAUGGGGGCGAAAGACUAAUCGAAC